GUGAUGCCUGUUGGCAGCAGCAAACAGCCCGACCCCCGUGGGAUUCAGCCAAGAGCUGAACCAGAAAAACCAGCGAGCAGAGGUGACGUUUUCUGGAAGCCUUUGCUGGGACCCGGGGCAUGGACUAGAGAGCUCGUCACGGGUCAGCAAAUGGGAAUUCUUGCGAGCGCGUCUCUGCUUUUGAACUUCAUCCAGGGUUUGCAGCACUUAACGGCGGGAGGAGAGUAUUGCAGCAGAAGAGCAGAGCCGUGAUGCAGCAUCGGCAACGUGGUGCUGUGAUCAGCAAACGGCUCGUGUCGGAGUUUCCAUCGCAGGGAGCUGGGAAACACAGGCAGCAAAGAUCUCUGCCAUCCCUAAAAGAGGAAAACAGUCCCAGGGCUGAGUGUCCCACCAUUCUCACUGCAAACCGCAGCAGCACUUUCUGUCUCGGCUGUUCAUAGUGGUAAUGUCACCCCGGGGAAAGUUGUUUUUCGCUUAAAAGCCUUGACGAUGACACUUUGCAGGGAGUUAUUUGGCUUGUACGUUUGUGUUUCCACCUCCCUACCCAAAUCUCGCCCCAACAGCCCCCAAACUUGCUGCUUGUCAGGUCUUGUUCUACCUAAACCCUUUAAUGCCACAUCCCAUCACUGGGCUAUUGCGGGAUCACACUCGUACGUACGAGCCCCGAGUCUAAUUAAUGUAAUAAAGUGUGCCAAAGAAUUAAAUCUCAGACGUGGCAAUGUGAUCACUUCUCUGUACUGUCACAGCACAAGUAACGCAGACAGUAAAGGAUAAAACACAUCUCUGGCAUUUUUUAUUGCUUCUAAUACGCCGCCUUUUUUUGUUACUGGAAAUUUAAAUUAUAACGGUAUGCUUCACUUAAAAAAAACAGAAAGUAUCCAUAGCAACAGGAACAUCUAAAUUAUCGCAGGCUGAUCACUCCUCCCGCAGUCACAUCACUUGCCUUUCAAAGACAGUCCCAGAGGUGCGGGAUUUUAAUAGACAUUUUGUUUUCCUGCCUUUUUUGCAAAUAAACAACUGUAUACACAGCACUUUCUCCAUCAAUACGCUGCCUACGGAAAGAUCUAAUAACUGCCUGAGCGCUUCGUUACCCAGAGACGGAGGGCAUGGGGUUUGCUUGUGCAAUUCUUGUUUCAUCCGAGUCGGUGCCUCCUGGUUAUCCCGGGAAACCGGAGAAUUGGGUUCAGCUGGUGAAACGACGUCGGCAGCCGCUCGGCCUUUAAAAGGUGGGAAAACACCCUGAUAUUUCUCAGCUGCCAUCCCCACGUCUGGGCCUCCCUGGUGCCGUCUGACCAGAGCAGUUACAGCUUUUCCUUCAUCUUCCUCAUGAAAAGCCCCAUCGCUGCGGAGCUGUCAAAUGUAAGAAACAAACACGCUGCAAGAAAUAGAGAUUUGUUGUUUUAUUUCUUCAGGCUCGAUUAUGGGAAUCCUGCGUGCCAUCUGGAUCAAUAGCGGGUCAAAACUGCUCAGGCAGGAAGGUAUUCUAUAUAAAAAAGCAGCAGCCCAUGGCCUUCCUCUAAGCUCAUGUAUAAAGUUAUGGUAGUAAACCCUGUUUCCAGGCUUGGAAAACUCAGGUUAAGAACAAAGGUUUAAUAAAUGUAUGUAGGAAUAAGAUCUUAAACCAAAACUUGAUGUAUCUGGGAUCUUAUUGUAUUCCAUAACAGCAGAGAUUUGCUUUCUUUAUGUUGUUUUUCAUGUCGUUUCCCGCUGCCGUGUGUCACAUUCCCGGGUCAUCGUUCCCUGCGCUUUCCCCAGAGGUGGUUCAAGGAUGUAUUUGCAGAGCAGAACAUGUAAAUUACAGUGGAACGAGGCAAUCUUUUAAACCACAAAAUAUUCCUCGUGGCUUAACCUCUGCAGAAUAAGAGCUGACGUGCAGACGGGCGGCUGCGGUUCACCAAAUGCAGCCCAGAGCUGGAGAGUUAACCGAGAAAAUGGGUCGGGGUUGUGUGGCAGGUUUGAUGUGUUUGCAAGGAAGGGUCGGGGAAGCUCUGUGUUGUGAAAAAAGGGGUGAGAACUCAUGGGUUUUGGGUGCGGUUGUGAUGCUGGGACAGGAACCAGGUGUAUCGUCUGUCGGGGACUUUCAGAUCAACCGGGUUUCGUGUGUUUAGCUAAGAAAAGUCAGAGCGAGAGGAGGUGGUGGUUACAGAGGGCUGAGAAUGAUGCAAAAGAAUCUGUUGGACCUGCAGAUCCGGCUCAUAUUUGAAAAUCACCCUCUUACGGCUCCCGCGAAAUCACCUUUUAAUAACGAGUCUAUAGCAGGAACCUGUAAUUUUGUGGUUGAUGCGUGAGCAAGAUGACAACCGAGUGCGCUCUCACAUGGUUUUAUUGAAGCCAUGGGUCAGAAAUAUUUGCUUUAUGUUGAGAACAUGAGGCCAAACAGAAAUCCCAGCGCUGACGCCAGGCAGGGACUCACCAGCUCCAGCAGGGUUCCCUGAGCCACCGACGGAGCUUUUGAUGCACAGCUGCCCUGAACCCACCUUCGUACCUCUCGGAGUAAUUAAAUAAGUCCCAGGAGCCACAGCCCCAGAGGUUUACAUUCCGCUUACCCUGGGAAGGGGCCUCCCCUGCCAGGCACCCGGAUCCGUGCAGAACACGAGGCGUUUAUCCCGAUCAAUAACCCGGCAGCUCCAGGUCACUGCAGAAGAGGCCGGUAACACCCAAGCGGUGCCAAUAAAAUAUUCCGGAACCUGCGUAUUCAUCUUCAUAUAAUCGCCCAAAGGUCGUCUUCUGACCUACUUUACCCUCCGCUAAGUUACUGUACAGUUGACAGAUGAUUUUAACAGAGUCUUAGUGGUCACCUGAGGAUGCCCAAUACGUAGCGCUAUAAGCUGGGAUUUUCAUUGCCGCACACGGUUUAAAUGACUUUUAACUCUUUGCAAGUGCUGCGUUUUCCCUGUAAUGGGAAUAUUUACGUGAUCCCACUCAAAUGCCCUAAGGCAUCUUUAUUUCUCUUGGCCGGGUUCAUAAAGGCCGAGUUCAAAAGCCUUAAAGUUUAAGGGAAAUGAGCUCAGCACGACGGGACAGAGGAAAAUAAGACGGAUGUGUUGGCAUUGGGAAGGUGCUUGUUCGGUAACAGCACUGGCUUCUCAUUUAUCAUGUGCAGGGUGGUCUCUGCAGUGGAUUUGGGGUCUCUCUGCAUCACUUUAGCAGAAUAAUUGAGUUGGAUCCAAGGAGUUGAUCAGGGUUUCCUAGGCGGUGUCAGAGAGAGUCCCGUCUAAGGGCAGGAACGUUGGACAGUAACUUAGACAAAUGGCCAGAGGGUUCCACCGCUCACUUGCCAUUAAGUCUAAUAACUCCAGUUAAUAAUCUGACCCAACGGCUUCUUAUUCUCUUAUCUCUUGCUGACAAAAAUCAAAACUGCUUGUCCUAUAACAGCUAUUUCGAUAAAUCUCUUUGCAACCUCCAUAAA